CGGCGGGCUGGUCCCCCAAAUUAUUUGGAAAAAGAGGGAACAAAGCCCAAUUAUUUUAUUCAAAAUGCAAAACUGAAGAAGAAAACCCUAAUCCGCGCCAGUUUCUCUCUCCAGCAGCAACGUUCUUCUUCCACCUGAGGUGGCAACUACACACAGGUUUUGUAUGCCAUGACGUAUUGUAGAGUAAUCCGUGACGCAACUACGCAAUUGAUUUGCGAAAGCUUCAGGUGUUUGAGGAAUGAUUUAAUUGUACAGUAAUCCAUGACGCAUUCCUUUCUAUAAAAGUGGUCAGGCAGCUUCCUAUUCUUGGUUCAAAGCGAAGUGUCAGCAAGAUUAUCUGAGUCUUGUUUGCCAAACAAUCAUUUGUUUUCUCCUGGUAUUUCAUUUGUCAUUUAUCUAUGCACAUGGUUGUGGGAUGCAUAUGCUUGACCGUGGCUUCAUGAGGAAAAAGUAUGGCAGAUCCUGUGCCCAUUUGGACUGCCCAGCUUUAUUGCUGCAGGUGGUCUUUCGUGGCUUGGAUAUGAGUGUUGCCUUGCUCAUCUGAGCCUAAGUAUAAGUCCACACAUAUACACAAAUUUGUAUCAUCUCAUAUCUGAUGCUGUAUGAUGUUUUUCAGUUGUUAUUGAUCUGGUUUCGAUUGAAAAUAAUUGUGGUGGAGGUAAAAGAAAAGCCGUCUUAGCCAACAAAAUUUAGUAGUUGACAUGAAAGAAAAUUUUAUUGAGAAAGAUGGAGAAAGGAAGAUGAUGAGUUAUGACAGGUACUUAUGAUGGGCUUGCAUAUCGUCUUAGGUGUUUCUCCUGGUGCUGCCAAUUCUUGUUGUGCCUGUACCGAGCAUCUAAAAUAUGAAUUGUCCCUCUGACUACAUUGCUCGUUUCAGCUGAUUCCUUCUCUAUCCUGAAAUUAAGAUUUAUUUCACUAUUUAUUUGAUACAUGAUGCUUGGAGUUUUUAAAAGUGACUUAAUAAGCUUCAAAGUUACAUCGCUACUAUUUUGGUCCUCAUGGAGAAAGUGACCUUUUAUGCUUAGGAUUAUAAGUCAAAAGGUGGAAUUAUUCAUUUUCUUGAGUCAUAUUGUUAAUUGACAUAUCCUUUGAACUUAUUUCUGAAACAUUUGGAGGUAAUUGUGAGGCCAUUUGGAACUUUUAUAUGCUAUGUUAUUACUCUGUAAAGAGUGGUGCAUGUGUUCUAUUAAGACUUUGGUUUCAUUUAGAUGAACUCCUUAUUUUGCUUAUGAAAAAUAUACGAUUCAAGUCAGAAGUCUGGCUGAGAAUGUCAAUGUCUGUCUUUCACUUUGCUUGUGCAUCAUUAAGUAGCAACCGUUCUCAUAUGGUGCAUAUCAGCUUAAGUUCUGGAGAGAGUGUGUGAUUCAUCCAUUUCUCUGCUUGGAGGAACUGCUUUUUUCUGCGUUAACCUUUCAGGUUCAUAUAUUCGGAUAAGGGAUGGUGCCGAUGGUUUACUGCCGGUAAGCAUUGUCUUUAUGCUUCAUAUGGUGAAGCGGGCCAGAGUCAUGUGGUGAAGCAAAAUUAAGAGCUGAUUUUCUAAAUAGUGGCUCAACAUUUAAUUCUUAAUUUACUUUUGAUGUAAUGAUUUAGAUAUGUAUGAUGACUUGUACGUUGUUUAUCUACUUCUGUUAUUAUGAUUUUUUAACAACUUUUUCAUAAAAACUAACCAAACAUGUAUUUUGUAAAUAAAUUCGCCUCAAAUAAUACAUCAAUAUUCAACACAUGUUCCCAUAAAUUGCGACCUAUAUAUCUGCUAAUGAUGAUUUCUGAAUGUAAGAUAACAAGGUCUCAGACAGCCCGACCCUUAAUAUUUUAUAUACUUGCUCCAGGGACCCAAGGAGGAGGAUAGAGGUUUAGGGCAUCCUUAAACUCGACCUAUGAUUAUGACCCAACAAGAAUGAUCAGCUAAAAUGGCUCAUGAACCUAACAACUCCCUCUCCCCACGUGGCGUACAUCUAAUUCACCAGUCAAACGUCACUUUAAACCACAUCAGUCCUACAAAAAUAAUUUAAAUGAGGAAGGGCUCUCUAAAGUCUAGAAUUUCCUGACAGCUAUGGCUCCUUGAGCCAUUUGUCACUUUAUCCAACCAUCCUAACCCAUUUCUUCGAAUAUCUAUGAAUAGGGAUAGACCCCCAGCAAGC